AAUGGAUGGGGAGGAUGAUCAGGAAGAUGGAAACUUGAGAAGAAAGAUAAGUGCUUCAGUCAUCUAUAUGUCAACUUUUAAGUGGUAGUGAAACAUUGGAGUAGAUCUAUCUGACGCACAAGUAGAGAUAUAAGAUGGGAUAAAAGAAGAGAUGCCUUGGGUAGGGAGCUACAGCUGGGUAUCAUUUGCAUGUUGGUGAUACUGAAAAGCUGUGGAAUUUGAUGUUCACCAAAGGAGACAACGGAUGGAGAGAAUAGCAGGGAAUCCCACGCCCAACAACUGUGGGAUUUGCCUUAGAUCUUUAAAUUUGAGCCAGCAGAUUCUUACACUUGAGAGUGUAAGAAGAUUAGAGCUUUGUUGGAUCAAACUAUAUGUUCACAUUGUCCAGAGUCCUUUCCUGCCACCAGACCAAUGCUUUUGGGGAGCCCAUUCACCUUUCUUCCAUAAUGGAACUCCAGGUUACGUAAAUGGAGAUCUUAGUGGCCUCCCAUAUAGAUCAGAGCCAGAUCUGCUCAUCCUCAGCAAGGUGACUGUGCUAUGUGUCCAUAGUCCAUACCCUGAGACCUUAAAGAGGGCACAAAGGCAACAGCUCUCCCUCCCUGCUUGCCCUAUAGCAUCUUCUAUUCAUAGCCAUUUGAGAAUAAAUUAGAUCACUCUGAUUCCAGUUCAGUAUGGACAUUGUAGCACCAGUGGGAUGGUAGAGCAUUUCCCCUUUUUAUUCUGUCUUCAGGGCUGAGCUUACCAACAUAACAGUCAGUGUCACAGCACACCCAUAGCUACUUUGCCCUCUCACAUGGACACUGCGUACAUUAUGUUAUGGUACCUCCUAUGAGCUAGCUCUAGAGGCACAUUCAAAGCUGGAUUUUGACUGCUUAUGCACUGUAUCUCCAGAGCCAAAUGAGUGAUGAGGAAGAAAAUAAACAUACCAAUCAUCUCUAGUAUAGUGUGAAAUCCAUCUCAUCUUUUUUUCAUUGCACAGCAGGUAAUCAAAUACAUAUACUAUAAGGCAUAGUUGAUGUCUGUUGCAUUUGCUACACUUUAUAAUGAGUGGGGGAAAUGUUGAUCAUAGGAGUAGAAAGAAAAUAGAUCAGAAAAUGGAGUGGAAUUUUCCAACUUCAGCUAUAUUGUAGAAACUACAAGAAUCUUUCCGCAGCCAUUUGCUGAACAGGCUUUGAAAUCCAAAUGUUGUUCUUCAGAAAAGGACCAAAGAAACUACAGUAGAAUACGGACCUUUGGUUUCCAUAUUGUCCAGACUGGUUCUCACAUUGCACCUCCAAUUCUGCAGUUACCCAGUUCGCCUGAAUUGAUUUGCUUACUACAUUUCUAUCCCAUCUUUCUUUCCAGGUUUUAGGACAGUGUAUAAGUUUCUCUCCCGUUCCUUUCAUUCUAUUUUAGGUUAGAUUGAGAAACAGUGAAUGACUUAAAGUCACCCAGUGAGCUUCAUUGGUUUCCUUGGUGCAACAAGAAUCACUACAGUUCCCCCUACAAGAAGGAAGAACAGCCAACAAAUCCUCAUGUCAUAUAGGUAGAGAAAUAGUAAAAAAAAUAUUGUUCAAACUAUCAUGGGGAUGACAGGCUAUAGGUAGAGAGGUCCAUAACACCCUGUGUCUCCUACCUGCAGUGCUUGAUAUCAGUGAAGGAUCCAGAAGAGCAGUUUCAUUUAUUUGUCUAGUGCCUACCACCCACUAAUGCAUCUUUCUUAACGGUAACAUUUCCUUACUGCCCACCAGUGCUUGAUGGAAGGAGGUUUCAGCUUGUGCCGUGGAACCCUCUACCGCCCACCUAGAAUCCUGAAAUGCCCACUAGUGGGUGGUAGGGACCAGGUCUAGAGAGUUGAUAUAUUGUUUAACAUUUUUGGCAAAAACAAAAAACAAAAAUGCUAAACAGUUUACAAAGAUUACAUCCUGCUCCUAUUGGCCAGCGAUAGCACAACAUGGUACCUGCAGAGGUUGUUGCACUCUAAUUCUUAUCAGAUCCCACCAGCAUUAGCCAAUAGUCAGGGAUGGUGGGCAAUAGGGUCAAGCAACAUAUACAGGGCACCAUAUUAGCUACCACUGCCAUAGAUCUUGUACAACGGCAGACAUGCAAUAUCAGAUCACUAUCAGUGCUUUUUGGCAUGCCACUUUAUACAGAUAAACGCAUUCAUAUGAAACAAAGGCAGAUAUCAUGUAAGCCAUUAAUUCAAAAAGACUGUCAUUCACAUAUGAAAAGAGCAAUCAGCCAGUAAAUAACUAACCUGCCAAAGGAGAGCAAAGCCUACAUUGGCAGCAACUGGUGGCUGUUUGUCUAAUGCAGUUUAUUUGGCCAAAGUCUCACUAAAAUGAAUAGAUCAUCAGUCUUACAUUGUUGCUCUAACAAAAUUAUAACCAGUCCCUGUAUUUUGGGGAGCCAGUCUCAUUUCUAGGGAAUGGUUUCAAAACUGGAAACAUUUUUUAAAAAAACUGACCCACCUUCCUUCACUUAGCUAGGGAUAGCAGCAGAGUGAAUAUGAAACCUCUUCUCUGUGGUGUUUCCUCUAUCAUUUCCAGAAGGGUUAGCCUACUAUAGCAAAAGUAACAGUCUUUUGGCACCUUGAGAUGAACAGAUUUUAUAUGACAUAGGCUUGGAGUUCUAAAUGAAACGGACUGUGGUCCAUGAAACCACAUGGCACAAGACUCCUCAUUUUCCUUAAUGAUGCUUCUUUAACUCAGGCAACUUGUCACAUGGUGCAUGAGGUUAUGAGCAUAUUAGGGUUGAGGUGAACAUUUUUGGUGGAAGAAAGUGAAUUUGGAUCCUCGAAAAGGGAACAAUUUCAUAGCUGGGUCAAACAUAAUCAGGGUAUGUUGUGGGUUCACACUUGGUAGUGGCAGAUGCUUCUCAUUUAACUUCAUAUUCUUGUUGAGAUGAGUUGUUUUGCCACUAACUUCAAUAGCAGGGGUAGUGGUAGGAGCGAAGGAGGAUCUCCUUGAGGCAGUUAGUAGCUGCCACCUACCCAGAUGACCCUGAAAUGGCACUACGUGUGUUAGAAGUUAAAAUAGAGUCAUUCUGAGCACUGGCCAGGAUAGUUUCUCUCUUGUUGCUAUCAUCAUCACAAGAAGCAGGGUCAAAACCACACUCCUGACUGAUGGGACAGUAAGCACCAUUCUCCAUAAAACACAGGGAAUAAUUAUGUUUGGCCCAUCUCCAGAAACUGACAAAAAUUACCAUGGACAACCAGCAUUUUUGAGAUAUGAUCACUCUCUUUUCCUGGAGCUUUGGGGUUGAAUGUUAAGCUGUUAGAGGUAUUAGAUUAUGGAAACAAUCUUGGGACCAAAGAAACUCAACCAGUUCAGGGUGCAAUUAGGUAUUUUAGAGUGUGAAACAUAUUAUGCAGCUUCUAUCUGAUGUGCCAGUUUGUGAUCUCUUGGGACUGGGGGCACAGCCCCAUAAGAACAGACAAUUGAUAAGCUACCUUAUCAGGAAGAAGGCUUAAACAUGUUUUCUUCUGACAUGUCCUCUUCAUAUGAGAGCUAUGUCCAGGAAGUGGGGGGGCGGGAUAUGGCAUCGUAUCCCACCAAGGUUUUACUCAAAUAAAACCCAUUGAAAUUAAUGAAAAUAACGAAGUUAGGUUCAUUGAUUUCAAUAGGUCGACUAUGAGUAAAACUUAGUUGAAUACCACUCACAAGGCACUCUUAAACCAAAUGCUUCCACUAUGGCAAGGACUUUUGGCUUCACAAUGGAACGUCCCCUCUCCUCCCUCCACAUGCCCCAUCCCUUGUGACCCUUAAAUGUGCCUUCCAGAGCAGAUUCAGGGAGGACACAGGUGUGUGCAGGGAGAGGACAUGGCAGAUCAGUUUCAUGGCACAAGUGGAAAUCCAAAUGCUAGUGAAAUAACUUUGUUGAAUACCUCCCAUACAGCAUAAAGUUUAAUAGAUUCAAAUUAGAGAAGUGAAUAGGAGCUGAGGAAGAAGUUUGUUGGUGCUUUCUGCUGUCAUACCAUCAGACUGAUGUCCAGAAUUCAGGGAUGGCCCAAUUUGUUUUUGGCACCUGAGGCGAACCACAAAAUGGUGCCCCCUGCCAAGGAAGAAGGGCUUAAUGAAGUUCUACAUCGGGAACAAGGAGGGGAUAAAAAUCUACAUUAGGAACAAAGGUGGGAGGAGGCCAGCAGCACCUCCUAUUUACCAAGAGGCCACUGUAAAGGCUGCUUUAGAGGGACUGCCAUGGAGAUGGCAGACCCAGCCUCCAAGGAGCAUGCCAUAGCUGCUGCCAUUGCAAUUUCAGGAGUAGCGGGUGAUGCAUUUCUUGGGGGCUAGAACUGCUGCCCCUUUCGAUCUGGCUGCCUGAGGCACUCACCUCACCUUGCCACAUGGGUGGGCCAGCCCUGCAAAAUUCAAUCUAUAAAACAGUAGUGAUUUCUGUGGUACAGUAGAGUUGCCCUCCUGACAACAGUGUUGUUAUGGCUUACCUGGGUAGUGCUGAGGCAGGGCAGCAAUGACUGGUCCCUCCAGUGACCCACAUGGCCCUGACCUCAGCCCCACCCCAAGCCACCCAGCAGCAGUAUAGUGAGGAGUGUUCCCCACCACCACACAUGCCCCUGCUGCUGCAAAGUAUGAGAUUAGACAUUUUUAGGCACAGCACCUGGCUUUAUUUUUGCUUGUGACUCCUUAGACUGCUUUGUUAUUUGCCCAUUCCGUGCAGCAAGUUGGAAGUUUGGCACAUUAACAAAUUAUCCCACACUUAAUUUCGAGAUGUUUUACUGCUGUUGGCUUGCCGCUGCCCAACAUCAGAAAAUCAAUUGUAGAACAAAGACAAUGUGUGGUGGAGGUAUAAUUUUUCCUGGGGGGAUUUUACGUUUAAACACUAGAAUUUGUGUAAACACAUUUUUCAAAGAAAAUUAGCCAUAAUACUUGGCCCCCAGGUGAGCUAUAUUUAAUGUGUGAUAUACUGGAAGUUGGGUGGGUGGGGGAGCGGAAUCUGGCUCCUGUUGGUUUGGCAUUUGUCAGAAAAUGCCUAUGUCCAAUUAUUAAGAGGUACUGGUCACCUUUAAAUCUCUUAGUGGGUUGCGGUAGCCCAAGAACCAGUGUUAUGAGUGGGAGGGAGAGUCCAUUAUCAGAGCUCUAGCAUGGCUCCCAAAUAGAGCAUGAUAUAGUAUAGAUCACAGCAUGCUCUACACAAACCAGCUUGAAUCCAAAAAGGUGCCCAGUAUACCCUUGCCUGAGAACAAAGCCCUUCUGCUUGCAAGGAGAGAGGACUGGUUUUUGCAGAGUUGCCCUUCCCACUACAAUAUUUGUGUCAAUAUUCAUGCUAUUCAAGAAGCUGCUCCAACUCUGCAAUAAAGUUUUGGGAAAGCAGAGAAAACCAUACUUGGGUGGCAGGAAAGCCCUGUGAUCAGAUGUCUACCUCAGGAAGUAAGUAUCCAAGUCAUUAUGCUUUUAUUGUGACAAAGUAAUCUAAUCUGAACGCUUCCUUGGAGUUUUGUGGUGCUUUCCUCAAGGAAAGGAUAGGGGUUUGGGAUUGUGUGACAGGGGCAAGCUAGGAAUGGAAGGUUCUGAAAGAAAAUUAAUAAAUACGUAUGUCGGGGAACCAGCCCACCAGGUGCGGAGGAAAAUGACGAAGAGUCAUGGGUGAAGGUUUAAGCAAGGAGUGAGCUCUCUCUCCCAGCAGCCUUGCAUGUUUAUUAGCCUUGCGCACAUUACAUCAUGUUGCAUAUACACGUGUAGCACUCGGGUGGAAAACAGCUAGGGUUUGCAUUUCUUAGAAUAACUAUUCUCUACCAGGACAUAACUCCAGACAGCAUGACAGCCGCGGAAGCUUUGUGGUUAGGCAGCGCGACAGUGACCCAGGCGGGUGGGGGAACAAGUCAGCAGAUGUUUCCUCUUGCACAAUCUUGCACAAGGGUGCUAUUUUUCUAUUGCACCCCCACAUACGUAUGUCCCCCACCCCGAAUAGUGAUUUAUUUUUAUCCCCAGCUUUGUACCAGCUUAGCUAUAUUACUACUGUCUCUUCCUUUCUUCUUUCCAUGCCCUCCCCAGUGUGUAUGUAGUUCAGAAUAGUUCAAUGUGCUUUCAAUAAUAAUCCUGUAUUAGUUCUCCAUUCUGGAAAGCAGUGGAUUGUGUCAGCAUAUAGUGGAGGGGUCCUCAAACAUUCUCAGCAGGGGGCCGGUCCACUGUCCCUCAGACUUUGUGGGAAGCCGGACUGUAUUUUGGGGAAAAAAGAAUGAGGGACGAUGAGCGGCAUGCGAAAGGGCUCUGGAGAGGGGCUGCUUUAAAUGGUGGCCACUCGAGAGGGGAGCUCAGCCAACCGUGGCUCCUGUGUCUUGCGAGCGGCAGGGGCUAGCGGCAGUGGCAGAGGGACAAUGAGCGGUGCAUGAAAGGGCUCCAGAGAGGGGCCAGCACCAACAAAGCCCUGUCCCCUUCCUCCUCUAGGCAGGGCAGGGAGAAGCCAGGAGGAGGGAGGGAGGAGGCGCCGGCGUCACUGCUGUGUGAGGAAGAGGGAGAGAGAGGCAAAAAACGAGCACGCUGGCGAUCCAUGUGCUGGCGAUCCACGCGGCGAUUCCCAGACCAUCCACAGGCCAAAUUUAGAAGGCAAUUGGGCCUGAUCCAGCCUGCGGACCUUAGUUUGCCAACCCAUAAUAUAGUGUAAUGAAAGACCGCUGGGUGCUGCUCAUUUAACCCUAAUGCAUUCUAAAUGAAAUUAUUGUGAAAUAAGUUCAUAACGAAGGUAAGGCUUGAAAGUUGCCAUCCUUCACUGAAAACAUUCAUUUGUACUGUUCAAAGUACAUGCAUUCUUGUGUUGAAUGACUUUCUUCCAUGUAAGACUGUCUCUAAAGUCCACAACUGUAAGGAAAAUCUAUCCCAGUUUGCUUGGGUUUGUUUCUCUUGGAGAUGCUAAGGGUUUUACAUCAGGCAUCCAUGAGCUGAUCGUCUGAAGAAAAAAUGGCACCGAUCAACAGAUAACUGUCCCCCUUUGAGCCUGUUAGUGAUUUGAUUUGAGCUUCAUAAUUAGCGGGCACACCAUGGCCAUAAGGGAGCUGAAUGUCACAGCUCCUUAGCUGCUGACACAAAUGCAGGAAGAGGCAAGGAUUUGAGGAAUGACACCUCUUAUUAGCUCUCGCAUAGGAAAGACGCACACCGAAUGACCUACAGAGGGAAAUUACUAGUUAUAGCACUCUUGUGCCAACGUCAAGCUAGCUAGACAGUCAUCCAGUCAAACAAUUUAAUUCUUAGACAAUAAAAAGGGGAACUGAAGGAAGAAGACCUUUUACUUAAAACCCUUCAACAAACCAGACAUGUCAAUAAUAUUUACUGUACCUGCCAUUUGCACAAAUACAGAGCACAGAGACUGCUAAAACCCUUCAAGCUGGCCACACACUGUCAAAUGCAGUAUCUCUAUUAUCAUUGGUAUUGAUUUAAUGAGCAUGACAAUUUUGGGAUGUGUGGUGGCUGGAUGAAAUUUGGAGGCUGCCUCUUUUAGUGGUGGAACUGUAGUAAAUCCACAGCAGGCAUGGCUGCGCAAUAGGAAGAUGUGGUGACUGUCAGCCCUCAGGUAUUCCCCCAAGAGAAGCGGUGCAAAUUUGUUGCCAACUCCUGUGUCUGCCCCAUGUCUCCCUCACGAAUUGUGGUUCAAAAAAUUAUUACAUGUACAAGGGAUACCAGUCCCCCCCCCCUCCACAACUUUGGACGGUCCCUGACUAGUGAUGGGCAAACCCAUUAGUCUUUGUUUCUCUUUUUUCCAAACUUAAGAUUCAAUUUUUUCAUCAAUUUGCCAGUUUUUCGUUUAACAUUCCACAUGGAAAUUUGCAUGCAUUCUCUCACACAUUUCUCUUAAUAUAUGCUUCCUCUUCCCACUCUUUUUCCUGGCAUGGCAUGUCUUUUAAAUCGUAAUCCUGAGGGCAGAGACGGUCUUAAACUUCAUCUUUGUAAAUUUCUUUGGGGACCUUUUCAGCAAAAGAAAAAGAAAGGUAAAUGUGUUAUCUAUGUGCCUCUUCCACAAUUUACAGUAUGUGAAUAGGGAGUGCUGCUUGCAAGCAUUGUAAGAUGAUUAGGCUGCAGGCAGUUUCUUACAAAUUGCUGCCCAUAUAUAUAGAGAGGGGGGGCAGGCAGGCAGGCAAGCAUUCAUAAAUAGAUGCAUACUUAGAACAGGGCACUAUAUUAUUCAAUACAGCCUGUGUUUCACAUGGUUAUAGCCAAUAUCUUAGCAAGCAGUGGUCUGAAAUGUUUUAUUCUCAAUUCUUUAAAAAUGGCUUCCCUUGCAAAACAAAACAAAACUGGAUGAAUAUUGUAUCUGCCUCUCCAUUUUUUAACAGCAAAAGAACCUAUUGAAGCCCUUUUACUCUUCAUGGAUUUUGCCUCCCACUUUUGUGCCCCCUUCCUCUUCCUUCUCAUUGACAAGCCCGCACAUUCUGUUUCGACAAUAUGUUGUUAUUAAUCAAUAAGCUGACUUAUGGCACCUGUCACCCCAGAAAGAUGCUGUAGAAUGGCACAAUAUGGGAUUGGGGGGGAUUAAAGUCUUCUGCCUGCAUAUUCGUGCACUUCACUUUUGUAUUAAUUGUUUAUUUCGCAGCAGGUGUGCCUGUAGAACAGCUGGCGCCCCGACUAAGCCCUUCAUCUGGCACAUGCCAAUUUGACAAUUGGAAAUUCUCUCAACUUUGUAAGCAAGAGUCUGCCUUGAAAGCCCCAGGCUGUCACUCAAAUCCCGCAAUGCUCAAUUGCUCUUGUUCCUUCAUGCACCUGAAACUCCCAGUCAAAAGACUGAUAGCAACAAAUGCUGCCAUUUGAGCUUACAGAAUCGGAAGCAAAGACAUCUGGCAAUAAAGUCUUCAAAUAAUGUCUUGCAUGAGCCGCACUUGGUAGCUUUUAAAUCCAGUUAUACUGGAUUCAUUGUUACUACUUUUGAAGCGGUCAGGUUUUCCAAAAGGCUACUUGUCCAAUAAGGCUUCUGCUAAAGCUGUAGAUAAUUAACCUGUUUUAGGCAAUUAUCUUACUCCCAAAGCUGUAUUGAUCAUGAUACACUUAGGACCAGUUGCCCAGUGUUUUUGUUGAAUUUAAAAGUAGCUGCCAUGGGCUCCAAGGAAUAACUCAUUUUCCUAAAUCUUCCUUCUCUUUUAUGUGUAUCUUGUUCUUUUUCUGUUCUCUUUCUAUUACUUUCUUUCUCUCACUUGUCUUUUUUAUUAUAUAUUUUAGAAAGUUGUUGUGGAUUCGGACGUCUCUUAAGAUAUUAAGCAACAGCUUUUUGUCUGUUUGGCUAUAAUGAGGUGCCAUUUUGAAUCAAGAUGGUGAAGAUACUGAACGUUUCAAAAUUACUCUGAAUUUAAACAGUGAUUUCAAAGCUGCACUGAUUUGGGGGUUUCUUAGAACUCCCGAGCAACGAGACUACUAGUAGUGUAAUAAUAAGAGGGAAAGGACCUGGGAAAGAAUUAGGAUGUGGGUGUUGGGGGUGAAGUCAUGGGCCUGGGCCUGUUUCUUCACAUGAUAGCCCUAUAUGUAAGUAACACGUGAAAAAGGCUGGUUCAUGCCACUCUGUCUCAGUCUGUUGUGCAAAUCACAUAAGCUGAGUUCUACAUAACCUUUCCUUCUAGUAUUUGCUCUCUUGGAUUGGGGGCAAUAAUCAGUGCAACAUCCAAGUGGUGCAUCUUGUCCAGACUGAUGUACCCCUCAGAGGAGAUGAUAAACCUUUUCUCAAUUUAAGAAGAUUUAGGAACCUGCCGACUGAAUAACACUAUGUGAUCCAUUCUGCCCUUUGUCCUAAACUGUCCCAACUAUUUUUUCACCACCGUCUUUCUAUUCAGUGCAGUCAAUAGGUUUUUUUGGUUUUUUUAAAGGCAGCAUUGGAGAUUAUAAUGUAAGGAGAAACACAUACUCUUAGAAUUCAGGAAUGAAUGCAGCAAAGAUCAAUCUUGUAUCAACUGAACAAGCUUUUUUUUAUCACUUGACAACCAAACCAUAUAUCCAAUAAGUUCUGCACCGCAGUCAUUAAUUGUAGACAUGCUCCCAAGGGGCCCUUAUCAGUUAGUAAGAAAAAACUUUAAAUGUUUCUGUUGCGGUGUCACUCCAAAGAUAUGUCCACUGUACACAUUUCAUGAACACCACCACAUAGCCCUGAUAAGCUUUGAGACCAAGCAUUACUUCUGUCAUCUCAGUUUGACAAAUAAUAUUUUUCUGUCUGCCAGGGAGCUGCUUUGGUUGACCUUCAAGAAAUGCCAUCCUCCAGACAAGGCACUAAAAACUCGGUCCCUUUUAGCCUGCAUUAGAAGGCUAGAGAUUUUGCGACAUUUUGAAUCAUUGGAAAUCAGCUGUGCACCUCUGUAUCCCAUCCAAAGAAAAUCAAUAUGUCCUGGAAAUCAUAAGAAAUGCUAAUCUUAAAACACACAAAAUUGCCGAGCGUAAACAGGCUCAGAGCAAUAUAGAUUCAAUCCAUUAUAAAAUUGAGAAUAACUGAACAAACGGAUGAAAUAUUGUUCUAAGUGAUGAUAUAGACACACAGGAGAAUUCCAAGGGAGGCACGGAAGUUUGUAACAUUACUAAUAAUUCCCCAAAAUCAAGCCUCCUUGUUGGAUCCCUUAAUGGAUAACAAAAAUAAUAUGAUUUCUUUCUAAUAUUGUGUGUGAUCGGCUUGAAUAUAUGCAAUUAAUGACAAAGUGGUAUAAACAUGCAUUAAAAGUUUGAUGUACCUUAAAGUAGCUUUGGGCAUUGCAGUAUGGUGUAUAGAUCAGCAUUUUUUUGCCUAUACAAUAAUAAGUUGCAAAGCAAUAACUUGUGUUCCCUGUCUAACAAGAUUUUGACCUCCGCACAUAUUUGGAACUUAUGCACCCCAUGGGGGGGCAGAUCACAACUUUCUUUAUUCUCAUGUUAUACUGGAAACACAAAAAAGUAGAAGCUUAAGUCACUUAUACAUCAGAUGUCAGGGAUUGGCUGGAUGAGAAACAGCAGCCCGUAGUCCAGGAGGCACCUGAGGGGGAUGGGGACACUGAACCAGGUUCAGACUGGUGAGACAGGGAGGAAUCAUCAGCAGAGUGAGGGUGAAGUGGAGAUGCUUGAGGUAGCCACAGACGCUGAUAGAGAAGGAGCAGGGACUGUGUCUUCUGCUCUGCAGUACAGUCCGGAUUCAGCUCCUUCCCCUCCCCUACUCUCAGCACAAGAAAGAAGGGUCAGGAAAAGGCUAGAACAAUUGAGAAAAGCUGAGUCACGGUGGGAAGGAGGGAGGUACAAAUAAGGCAAGGGGGGAGGUACAAAUGAGGGGGAGAGCAGACGGAACUUUAGCUUCUGCAACUGACGUGUUUAUCUGAUGGAUGUGCUGGGUGAUGACUUCUUGAUUGUUGUUGUUUAGUCGUUUAGUCGUGUCCGACUCUUCAUGACCCCAUGGAUCAGAACACGCCAGGCACUCCUGUCUUCCACUGCCUCCCGCAGUUUGGCCAAACUCAUGCUGGUAGCUUCGAGAACACUAUCCAGCCAUCUCGUCCUCUGUCGCCCCCUUCUCCUUGUGCCCUCCAUCUUUCCCAACAUCAGGGUCUUUUCCAGGGAGUCUUCUCUUCUCAUGAGGUGGCCAAAGUAUUGGAGCCUCAGCUUCAGGAUCUGUCCUUCCAGUGAGCACUCAGGGCUGAUUUCCUUAAGAAGGGAUAGGUUUGAUCUUCUUGCAGUCCAUGGGACUCUCAAGAGUCUCCUCCAGCACCAUAAUUCAAAAGCAUCAAUUCUUUGGCGACCAGCCUUCUUUAUGGUCCAGCUCUCACUUCCAUACAUCACUACUGGUGAAACCAUAGCUUUAACUAUACAGACUUCUUGAUUACUGAGCAAUAAAGUUAAUUACUGCAAGCACUGUGUCUAGUUCUGCUUACAGUGUCGGACAACAGAUGGAGGGGUUUUUCUGGCAGCCUGAUUCUUGUAACAUGAGAAGAGGCACCCAAACCCAUUUACAUAUGUUCUACUGAUGUUCUACUACCUUCACUGUCAGACGUAGAAUGCCAUGCUCAGGCUUCCCACAGGUAUCUAGUUGGCCAUUGUAAGAAGAAGAUGCUGGACUAGACAAACCUUUGGCUUUUCUUAUGUUGUUAUGUAAUAUUUUAACCUGGAAUUACACAAGCCAUAUGUACAAGCUCUUGAGAGUGUGUUAUGUGCCCCCUAAACUAGAAGUUGGUAACCUGUAGCCCUCCUGUUGUUGUUGGACUCCAAAUCCCUUCAGCUCCAGGCAGCAUGGCCAAUGACCAGUUGAUGGGUGUCCAGCAACAUCUGGUCCAGCAACAUCUGGAAGGCCAUAGGUUUCUCAGCCAGGCCUGGAUCAGGGAUAGCCAAGGUAGUGCUCUCCACAUGUUACUGGACUACUGCUUCCAUUAUCCCAAAUUGUUGGCCAUGUUGUCUAGGGCUGAUGGGCUUGGAGUUGAGCCACAUCUGGAGGUUACCAUGUUGGCUACCCCUGUCGAGAUACUGAAACACACAAUCAGAAUCUGAUCAAAAGGUCUGCCCAUAUCAAGUGCCUGAAGAAGACUGCAGCUGCUUCCAUCUUUGUGACUGUUCUCACAUAACUCCAGGAACUAAUACGGCUUACAGUAUAUGGCCAAAUCCCACUGAUUUGGGAGGCGUGACAUUUGCAUGCUAUAUAAAUAAAACUUCAGAAUGUUCCUAGAUCCUGAAAAUUGUAGAAGCCACCAUGAAAGAGGAGGUAACCACAUUGCCUUGGGCAUGUCUACCAUAAUGCGACAGUAAGUGGGAUAUGCAGGACAAACUGCAAUUGUCUACAUAUUGAGAGUCAAUUUUCUUCUGUGGAUCCUGUAGUAAUUUUUUUUAAAAAAAAUCCAUAAAUAUCAUAUUUUCCCUGGCAUUAAACCACAAUGUUUUGCUAGUGCAUCCACUGAAAUUAUGAAUACUGUAGGUAACAUGAUUACACAGGUUCUUGGCUGCCAUGGACCAGAAGAGAUGAAUUUCAUAACUCCGUCUCCUCUGCAUGCUGCAUUUCAUGACCUAUUUUAUUUUCUUUAAAAUAUUUGCAGAAUAAUCCUAUACAUGUCUAAUUGCCAAUGCUCUAUAUAGUCCAGCAUCCUGUUCUCACAGUUGUCAACUCAAAUAUAAGUCCCAUUCAUUUCAAUAAGGCUUACUCUCAGGUAGGAUGGCAUAGGAUUGAGCACUUGCCCACUAGUCCAUGAGCAAGACUGACCCCCUUAACAUGUCACCAAUGCCUUAGCAUGUUCUGAACCCUCUUCAGUGAUGGACCUUGAUUUGUGGGUAUGGCUAUCCCUCAGCCCCACUGCAACACACCAACCCCAAACCCAUCCAUUGCAUGAGAAGAGAAUUAUUGUGUUACUGGCAACAGAUUUUAAGGACUAACUUAAAACUAAGUAACAAAGAAAAACCCCUGUUUUCCAGUUGCCUGGAACGGGUCUACUUUCAGUGUUUCUAUUCUUUCAAAAACCAGGACCAAUAUUUGACAGUUGCACCACACCUACAUGGUAGCAAAAUGAAUACACUGAGGCUUGUUCAUUAUAACUCAUUGUAUAAUAAUGUUUCAGAGAAGGUUCGGUAAAUCCAUUUUCCCUUAGAGCACCCCAGCACAAAAUUGCCCCAUUUCAGUCCUAAAUGCAUGUAUAGAAUAGUAGAAAGUGAAAUCUUGGAACCAUCAGGACCCAAUUUUUCUGCCCUUCAUUUGCAGCUAUGGGAACAGCUAUCUAGAUUUAAUUUUAAUAUGUCACCAUUUUUUCCAUUUAGAUCCAAUAAAUAGCUGCAGGAUAUUCAAAUAGCUUCCACCACCUGAGACUUAUAUAAUGUUCCAGGGCAAUUUGCCUGUUAUUUUCGGAAAGCCAGAUUAGCUGCAGGUCUGAUUGAGAGAUGUUCACUUAAGAAUAUGAACACAGUAGUUCAAAUAUUAUUUAUUAGGAGAGAAAAUAAUUGCAGGGGAAAGUUGUCUAGCAACUUACUCACUCAAAUGCACACACAGAAACACACACACACACAAUGUAUACAAUUAUUCUUCUGUCUGAUUUAAGGAAAACUGUGACUAAUUAUACUGUCAAAAAAUAAUCUAGCUAAAAGACCAGACUUGGUGGGAACUGUGGAUUCAGCAGCAUGGGUUGUGCUUUAUUUUAUUUUAUCUAACACCUCACAAAAGGAUAUUAAUAAUUUUGUAUUAAUGUACAGUUUAAAAGCCUCUUCUUAUCAGGAAGUUGCAAGAAAUCAAAUCUGACAUAUAGUCUUUCAUUUCUUGCCUGCCUACAUUGAUUUGUUACCUGGUGUGAGUUCUUGCAGAAGAGUGGAAAACAAGCCUAAAAUCUUAACAGUCUUCUUAUCUGCAUUUUUGUACAGUGGGUUUAGCUUUGCAGCUGCACAGGGAAAUAAGCAGGCUGGGUGAACUGGGCCACAUAUAUUAAUGUAACAACAACUGCAAUCGACCGGCACCUGGUGUGGGGUAUUCUGUAUCCAGACCCAGGAAUAAGGAGACCAGACACUGGAUUGAACUACAGUUACAUUUUCUUUAAACUCCAGGGCCCCACAACUCCAGGCAGAUGUGGCAGGUAGACCUCAAGACUGUUCCAUCUGGCCACCAGAAAAGCCCUUCACUUUCAAAGGUAUUACAUUAUCUAACCUGAACCUUUCCUGCACCUCCCUACCAGCAAUGUGACCAACUUUGAUCACAAAGUCAGAUGUUACUGGAUUAUAUUGUCGCUGUCCAUUGGCCAAUAAUGACUGGCUCCCCAUCCCUCUAUAGCACAAGAGCAUCAUCACCUGCUGGUGCAUCUGGCACUAAGAUUUGAUUAAGAGCAAUGGCAAUGGUUUGGAGCAAAAAGAAUAAGCAACGAAGGUCACCACAAUCACAAUACACUAUUAUUAUUUUUGUAAAAAAUGAUUUGUAACAAGGGCACGUUUUAUAAUGUCAUCCAAAAAAAAUUCCCAUCAGAUUUCAGAAGCAGCAGAACGAAAAAUAUCUAAUGCAGGGUCUCUCUGGAUUUUGAAUAGAAACCUAUGGACAAAACAAACAUAUCAUGAGAAGCAAUAGUUCCAUUCUAUUCUGUGCUGGUUAUACUGCAUUUGGAGUAUUCUGUCUGGUUGUGGGCACCACAUUUUAAGAAUGACUUUGACAAAAACUAAUAUGGGUCCAGAAGAGGGAGGCUGUUGAGCAGGAUAGUGAGGGAUCUUGAAACCAACUCCUGUGAACAGUGCUAUUUUUCUAGAAACAGAGAAGCCAGAACUCACCAUUGAUACCUCCCUUGUUCUCUGGCAAUGGCAAUGGGACCCAUUUGAGAGGUGCCAGAAUUGAGUUCCAGUUGAAAAAAAGCUCUGUCCAUGAGAAAGAGCUGGUGAUGUUUAACUUCCUUAAGAGAAGAUUUAAGUGGAGACAUGAUAGCUGCCUUCAAACACACAAAGAGCUGCCAUACAGAAGAUGGAGCAUGCUUAUUCUGCGUAGCUCCAGGGGAAAGGACUAGAACUAAUACAUGGAAGUAGAUUUCGACUAAACAUUAGGAUACCCUUUCUAAUGGCAAGGGCUGUGUGGGAGUGAAACAGAGUAUCUCAGAAGGUGAUGGGACUCUUCAUAGUUGCAGAUGUUCAAGUAGAGGCAUAAAGCUAUCUGUCAAGGAUCUUGAUUCCUGAACUGAACAGGGGUAGGAAUAAAUGAUCUCAAAGUUUCUUCCCACUUCCAUGAUUCUUUGCAUAUGACUAGUCAAUCAGUCUUUCUUGCCCCCCCCCAUCUCCCAGGCACAUCUUAUAAUUCAUAUGCUUCCUGGAGAGUGAACUUUAACCUUUCUGCAAGUCUGACCGCAGCACUCAGAUCAGCUCUUUUGAUCAGUGCUCAUUGGAAUACAUAGUAAAGCUUUCAGAUGUGCUGGUGUUUAUAGGGCUAUUUUUCAAAGCUACAAGAUAAAUUUGAGCCUGGAACAUCAGCGUGUGUGCUUAAGGGUGCCAAGUGCUCAUUUUUUAAUCAUUGAAGGAAAGCAGCUUGCAGGUUGGGAGGAAAAUACUAAAAUUGUGCAUUAAUCAAGCAGGGGUUGACCAAUAGAUCACAAAUACUGCACAGUGCAGAGCUGUGCAUUUCCAGCUUUUUAAAUGAAGAAAAAAGUAAAUGCUGAGAAGUGAGAUGGGAGAUCUUUCAAAACAUAUCCUUCACUCUGCUCUAUUGACUAGAGCCAGUCACAAGGAAAUUUACCAUAAUUUGGAGGAAUGAAAUGAAAUCACAUUUAAGAUCAUUCUUAAGGAAAAUAGAGAAUAUUCCUUAGUGAAUUAUUGCCUGGCAUGCAGCCUUACCUUAAGGCUUCAGCAGAUGGUAAAUCACUUUCUAGAAGUUUUGUGCUAAGUUUAAAGCAAGCACAAGAAAUAAAUGCAUAUAUUGUUUCUAAACUCUUUUCUACCACUAUUUUAAAUGAAUCUUUUAUACUAUUUAUGGAAACUGCUUGGAUCGUUUGACUGUUUUGUUUGAUAGAGCAAUAUAUAAAUCUUGCUAAAUAAAUUAAAAUGCCUAAGAACUACAGGCAAAAGUGCAAAUUUCACAGCAGUAAAUGCAUGUUUGCCAGGAAAGAAUGGCUGAACAGUGUGCUAUAGUAAAUCCAAAUUUCAUGAUAAGGCUAUAUAUGUAUAUGCUGCACGUGUCUGAGCCAUGUAUUUGGGUCCCCUCAGAUGUUUUGGAUGACAAGUCUGCUUAUCUUAAACGGUCAAAAGGCAUUGAGGCCUGGCCACAGCCCUGGUCAGCGAUCCGGCAGCCAGCUGGGGAGAACUGCAGGCCUGCCUGCAAAUUGGCCUUUGGCAGGCAGGCCCGGGUCCAGCAACUCCCCAAGGGAUGGGCCAAACAGCCAAUGGGCCUUGCUUGGGUCCGCCCCCUGGGAAAUAAAUUGAGGUGAGCCCAGCACUCCUUCUCAGUUUUUCUGUUUGGACAACAAUUCCCAUUAGUCCAAAAUACAGUUGUACCUUGGAAGUGGAAUGGAAUCUGUUCCAGAAGUCUGUUCGACUUCCAAAACGUUGGGAAACCAUAGUGCGGCUUCACAAUCGGAAGCCGCAGAACCCCUGUCGUUCAUUUGGGUUCCAAAGAACGUUCACAAACUGGAACACUCACUUCCUGGUUUGUGGCAUUCGGUAGCCGAAACGUCCAAGUACCAAGGCGUUCAGGAUCCAGGGUACAACUGUAUCUGGAGAGCACCAAAUUGGCAAAAGCUCCUCUAACCAUUACACUAUGCUGACAUUUUUCAUUGCUAGACAUACACUUAAAACACCUUAGGUGUACACCUAAAACAUAAUGUAGGGAACAGCUCUUCUACCCCAUAAAAGCAGGGAGUACAGAACCAGAUGAACCAGUAUCUGCAGGAAGAAUUAGCUGAAAGGCACAUUUCAGAUUCGCUUAAGUAUUUAGAGGGAAAGUAAUCAAACUGCUAAGUGAAAGCCUGGGAGGAUAAUUAUAAUUACAUUUUGUUAAUGUAGUACUGUGAAUGUAAUGAAUGCUUGGUCAACAUUUCUGCUCUCUCUUUGUAAAUGCAUUUCUGAACUGCAUACCAACAUCUCUGCAAGGGAAGAAUAUGAAGUUGUGUGUAUGUGCUUAAGAUCACAAGAAGAGUAUAAACUGGAUCUGACCAAUGAUGCAACCUAUUAUCUGACUGUUCAGCCCUCGCUGAUUCAUUAAGUGAUCAUUCUGACCCUGGGCAUGGCUCUUACGUCUCCAAAUAAUGCCAGGCUAAGUGUGCAUUGCUUCUUGCAUCUUCCCUGCCAUUCUUCCCUGCCAUUCUUCAGAGCAGGAAGGAUUGUUGCUCUUACCCAGCCUGGCCUCAUUACAACCCAGCCUUCACUUGUGUUCGAAGCCUACUGAAUCUCAUUAACUCCAAUUGGACUAAAUUGGCUUAUAUCCAAAUGCUUCUGCUUGAUUGGCUUGUGGAUGGGACCGCUAGUCUUCUGCAUCCCCUCUAGUUAUUAUUAAGCUAAAGUCGGCUUGUGCUUAAACAAAUUCCAGCCUUUGGAGAGCUGUUUGAAGAGUGUGGCAUAUUGAGAUUCCACAACUUUCCCUGGACGCCUCUUGCAAUCUCUGCUCACCCUCAUUAAUAAAUAUUUGUCUCUUAUUUCCAGGUUUAGUUUGUGUUGAUCUCCCAGUGGUCCGUCUCAGCCAACUUUCUGUCUCUUACCACAGCAAUUUCAGAUCCUUCACAGAAAGGAACCCAAUAAGCAAACAAACAGAGGAGGCAUUUACAACCACUACCUGCUGCUAGCUGACAAAUACCCUUAAGCAGAGGAACACAAGCGACAAUGUAAAGGAUGAAAGAAAAGAU